rnacentral:rRNA from 1 species
CAUUAAAGAGUUCUAUAACUCCCAAACCCAUGUGAACAUACCUAACGUUGCCUCGGCAGGUCGCACCUACCUUGUAGCACCCUACCCUGUAGGGCCUACCCGGGAGGUGCGGGUAAGCCUGCCGGCGGCCCACCAAACUCUGUUUGAUAUUGAAUUCUGAACCUAUAACUAAAUAAGUUAAAACUUUCAACAACGGAUCUCUUGGUUCUGGCAUCGAUGAAGAACGCAGCGAAAUGCGAUAAGUAAUGUGAAUUGCAGAAUUCAGUGAAUCAUCGAAUCUUUGAACGCAUAUUGCGCCCAUUAGUAUUCUAGUGGGCAGGACCGUUCGAGCGUCAUUUCAACCCUUAAGCCUUCGUUGCUUAGUGUUGGGAGCCUACGGCAACGUAGCUCCUCAAAGUUAGUGGCGGAGUUGGUUCACACUCUAGACGUAGUAAUUUUUUAUCUCGCCUAUUAGUUGGACUAAUCCCCUGCCGUAAAACCCCCAAUUUAUCAAGGUUGACCUCGAAUCGGUUCAGACAAACUCGCUAAAUUGAAGCAUCUUAGUCAGCGAAGGAAAAGAAACCAACAGGGAUUGCCCUAGUAACGGCGAGUGAAGCGGCAACAGCUCAAAUUUGAAAUCUGGCCCUCGGGUCCGAGUUGUAAUUUGUAGAGGAUGCUUUUGGCGCGGUGCCUUCCGAGUUCCCUGGAACGGGACGCCUUAGAGGGUGAGAGCCCCGUACGGUUGGACACCAAGCCUCUGUAAAGCUCCUUCGACGAGUCGAGUAGCUUGGGAAUGCUGCUCUAAAUGGGAGGUAAAUUUCUUCUAAAGCUAAAUAUUGGCCAGAGACCGAUAGCGCACAAGUAGAGUGAUCGAAAGAUGAAAA